rnacentral:rRNA from 1 species
AACGAACGUUGGCGGCGUGGAUUAGGCAUGCAAGUCGGGGGAAUCCCAGCAAUGGGGGAACCGGCGUAAGGGGCAGUAAGGCAUGGGUACCUACCCGGGGGUUCGGGAUAGCCAUCAGAGAUGGUGGGUAAUACCGGAUGACCUCGUGAGAGCAAAGAUUCAUCGCCCCCGGAGGGGCCCAUGUGAUAUUAGCUAGUUGGUGGGGUAACGGCCCACCAAGGCGAAGAUGUCUAGCGGGUGUGAGAGCACGACCCGCGCCACUCGCACUGAGACACUGGCGAGACACCUACGGGUGGCUGCAGUCGAGGAUCUUCGGCAAUGGGCGCAAGCCUGACCGAGCGACGCCGCGUGCGCGAUGAAGGCCUUCGGGUUGUAAAGCGCUUUAGUGGGGGAGAAAAGCCGCAAGGUGUGAUCUAUCCCAAAAAUAAGCACGGGCUAAGUUCGUGCCAGCCGCCGCCGUAAUAC